rnacentral:tRNA from 1 species
UAUAUUAUAGUGUAUGAUGCACUCCAAUUUUUGACAUUGAAAGUUUAAGUUUAAUUCUUAAUAAUAUAA